AACGGGUGAGUAACACGUGAGUAACCUGCCCUUGACUCUGGGAUAAGCCUGGGAAACUGGGUCUAAUACCGGAUAGGAACGUCCACCGCAUGGUGGGUGUUGGAAAGAUUUAUCGGUCAUGGAUGGACUCGCGGCCUAUCAGCUUGUUGGUGAGGUAAUGGCUCACCAAGGCGACGACGGGUAGCCGGCCUGAGAGGGUGACCGGCCACACUGGGACUGAGACACGGCCCAGACUCCUACGGGAGGCAGCAGUGGGGAAUAUUGCACAAUGGGCGAAAGCCUGAUGCAGCGACGCCGCGUGAGGGAUGACGGCCUUCGGGUUGUAAACCUCUUUCAGUAGGGAAGAAGCGAAAGUGACGGUACCUGCAGAAGAAGCACCGGCUAACUACGUGCCAGCAGCCGCGGUAAUACGUAGGGUGCGAGCGUUAUCCGGAAUUAUUGGGCGUAAAGAGCUCGUAGGCGGUUUGUCGCGUCUGUCGUGAAAGUCCGGGGCUUAACCCCGGAUCUGCGGUGGGUACGGGCAGACUAGAGUGCAGUAGGGGAGACUGGAAUUCCUGGUGUAGCGGUGGAAUGCGCAGAUAUCAGGAGGAACACCGAUGGCGAAGGCAGGUCUCUGGGCUGUAACUGACGCUGAGGAGCGAAAGCAUGGGGAGCGAACAGGAUUAGAUACCCUGGUAGUCCAUGCCGUAAACGUUGGGCACUAGGUGUGGGGACCAUUCCACGGUUUCCGCGCCGCAGCUAACGCAUUAAGUGCCCCGCCUGGGGAGUACGGCCGCAAGGCUAAAACUCAAAGGAAUUGACGGGGGCCCGCACAAGCGGCGGAGCAUGCGGAUUAAUUCGAUGCAACGCGAAGAACCUUACCAAGGCUUGACAUGUUCUCGAUCGCCGUAGAGAUACGGUUUCCCCUUUGGGGGCGGGAUCACAGGUGGGUGCAUGGGUUGUCGUCCGCCUCGUGUCCUGAAAAUGUUGGGGUUAAGUCCCGCAACGAGCGCAACCCUUCGUUCCAUGUUGCCAGCCACGUAAUGGGGGGGGACU
rnacentral:rRNA from 1 species